GGCGUCCGUAUGUCGUUAGAGCACUGGGAAAGGGGGCGGGCUGCUGGCUGGGAGGGGUCGGCGCGGUUUCUGGCGCGCCACCGGAAGGGCGUUAUCCUGGGGGAACUGAGAGUGGAAACUUUCCUCCCGGGAAAGGAAGAAACCCGACUGGAGAAAGAUGGGGUCUCGCCAUGUCACCCACGCUGGUCUUGAACUCCUGGGCUCAAGCGAUCCUCCUGCCCCAGCCUUCCAAAGUACUGGGAUUACAGAGACAGGGUCUCACUAUGUUGUCCAGCCUCGGCUCGAACUCCUGGGCUCAAGUGAUCCUCCUUCGUCAGACUCCCUAAGUGCUGGGAUUACAGGUAUGGAACAGGCUGACAGAGCUGGAUCCAAAGGGCUCAGAAUGGAGCAACCAAGGUGUAUUCACCUGAUGCUUUGGUCUCCCUAAGCUCUUCCAUAGAAACGAUCAUAUAUCACCUCGGCAAUUGUUUUACGAUUUCUCACUGUGUUUCUCAGAAUGGUCUCAGACUCCUGGCCUCAAGCGAUCCUUCUGCCUGAGCCUCCCAAAGUGCCGGGAUUACAGGCAUGAACCACUGCACUCAGCCUGUUUUCAACCUUAUAUAAAUGGAAUCCUACUGUAUGUGCUUUUUGAUAUCUGGGCUCCUUUGCUCUAUAUUAUGUCUGUGAGAUUAAUAAACUUGUUUGUUCAGUUACGUUACUGCUGUGUAGCAUUCUAUUGUAUAAUGUACCACAAUUUAUUCAUCUGGUCAUCCAACAAUUUGGGUGGUUAUGUU
rnacentral:lncRNA from 1 species